rnacentral:rRNA from 1 species
UAGGGAAUCUUCCACAAUGGGGGAAACCCUGAUGCAGCGACGCCGCGUGAAGGAAGAAGUAUCUCGGUAUGUAAACUUCUAUCAGCAGGGAAGAUAGUGACGGUACCUGACUAAGAAGCCCCGGCUAACUACGUGCC